rnacentral:rRNA from 1 species
GUCGAACGCGAAGACCCCGCAAGGGGUUGUUAGCGUGGCAAACGGGUGAGUAACGCGUGGGCGACCUACCUCAGAGUGGGGGAUAACCUUCCGAAAGGGAGGCUAAUACCGCAUGACAUCCCAUGUUUGGAUACAUGGACAUCAAAGCCGGGGAUCGUAAGACCUGGCGCUUGGAGAGGGGCCCGCGUCCGAUUAGCUAGUUGGUGGGGUAACGGCUCACCAAGGCUCCGAUCGGUAUCCGGCCUGAGAGGGCGGACGGACACACUGGAACUGAGACACGGUCCAGACUCCUACGGGAGGCAGCAGUGGGGAAUUGUUCGCAAUGGGCGAAAGCCUGACGACGCAACGCCGCGUGGAGGAUGAAGACUUUCGGGUCGUAAACUCCUUUCAACCGAGAUGAAUUCCCUCCGACCUAACACGUCGGAGGGGUGACAGUAUCGAGGGAAGAAGCCCCGGCUAACUCUGUGCCAGCAGCCGCGGUAAUACAGGGGGGGCAAGCGUUGUUCGGAAUUACUGGGCGUAAAGGGUUCGUAGGUGGCCAACUAAGUCAUACGUGAAAUCCCUCAGCUUAACUGGGGAACUGCGCCUGAUACUGGUUGGCUUGAGUGCAGGAGAGGAACGCGGAAUUCCAGGUGUAGCGGUGAAAUGCGUAGAUAUCUGGAGGAACACCGGUGGCGAAGGCGGCGUUCUGGACUGCAACUGACACUG